rnacentral:rRNA from 1 species
GACGAACGCUGGCGGCGUGCUUAACACACGCCAGUCGAACGGAAAGGCCCUGCUUUUGUGGGGUGCUCGAGUGGCGAACGGGUGAGUAACCCGUGAGUAACCUGCCCUUGACUUUGGGAUAACUUCAGGAAACUUGGGCUAAUACCGGAUAGGAUCUCCUGCCGCAUGGUGGGGGCUGGAAAGUUUCGGCGGUUGGGGAUGGACUCGCGGCUUAUCAGCUUGUUGGUGGGGUAGUGGCUUACCAAGGCUUUGACGGGUAGCCGGCCUGAGAGGGUGACCGGCCACAUUGGGACUGAGAUACGGCCCAGACUCCUACGGGAGGCAGCAGUGGGGAAUAUUGCACAAUGGGCGGAAGCCUGAUGCAGCAACGCCGCGUGCGGGAUGACGGCCUUCGGGUUGUAAACCGCUUUCGCCUGUGACGAAGCGUGAGUGACGGUAAUGGGUAAAGAAGCACCGGCUAACUACGUG